GCUGGCUGAUGACUAGGUGACCAGUGGAUCGACAGUGACAGGGUCGCGGGAAUAAUUUGCUGAUGUGAUUGCUGGAACCACACUUCUAGGGCGUCAGCAGCGGAUAAGAUGGCGAAGGGCCCAGCAGCAGAUAAGGUGGCGAAGGGCCCGGCACCACUCUUUCACUGCCAUACCGGGGACCAGCGCCACAAGCAGCACCCCUGGACCAAUUCCUCCGCCGCCGGCAUUUGCGGAC